rnacentral:rRNA from 1 species
GAUGAACGCUGGCGGCGUGCCUAAUACAUGCAAGUCGAGCGAACGGACGAGAAGCUUGCUUCUCUGAUGUUAGCGGCGGACGGGUGAGUAACACGUGGAUAACCUACCUAUAAGACUGGGAUAACUUCGGGAAACCGGAGCUAAUACCGGAUAAUAUUUUGAACCGCAUGGUUCAAAAGUGAAAGACGGUCUUGCUGUCACUUAUAGAUGGAUCCGCGCUGCAUUAGCUAGUUGGUAAGGUAACGGCUUACCAAGGCAACGAUGCAUAGCCGACGUGAUGGGGUGAUCGGCCGCACUGGAACUGAGACGCGGUCCAGACUCCUACGGGAGGCAGCAGUAGGGAAGCUUCCGCAUUGGGCGAAAGCCUGACGGAGCAACGCCGCGUGAGGGAUGAAGGUCUUCGGAUCGUAGAACUCUGUUAUUAGGGAAGAACAUAUGUGUAAGUUACUGUGCACAGCUUGACGGUACCUAAUCAGAAAGCCACGGCUAACUACGUG